rnacentral:rRNA from 1 species
GACGAACGCUGGCGGCAAGCUUAACACAUGCAAGUCGAACGCCGUAGCAAUACGGAGUGGCAGACGGGUGAGUAACACGUGGGAACGUGCCUUUCGAUUCGGAACAACUGAGGGAAACAUCAGCUAAAACCGGAUACGCCCUUCGGGGGAAAGUUUACGCCGAAAGAUCGGCCCGCGUCAGAUUAGGUAGUUGGCGUGGUAAUGGCCCACCAAGCCGAUGAUCUGUAGCUGUUCUGAGAGGAAGAGCAGCCACACUGGGACUGAGACACGGCCCAGACUCCUACGGGAGGCAGCAGUGGGGAAUAUUGGACAAUGGGCGCAAGCCUGAUCCAGCUAUGCCGCGUGGAUGAAGAAGGCCUUCGGGUUGUAAAGUCCUUUCGGCGGGGAAGAUAAUGACGGUACCCGCAGAAGAAGCCCCGGCUAAUUUCGUGCCAGCCGCCGCAGUAACAC